ACUGGGCGUAAAGGGCACGCAGGCGGUGACUUAAGUGAGGUGUGAAAGCCCCGGGCUUAACCUGGGAAUUGCAUUUCAUACUGGGUCGCUAGAGUACUUUAGGGAGGGGUAGAAUUCCACGUGUAGCGGUGAAAUGCGUAGAGAUGUGGAGGAAUACCGAAGACGAAGGCAGCCCCUUGGGAAUGUACUGACGCUCAUGUGCGAAAGCGUGGGGAGCAAACAGGAUUAGAUACCCUGGUAGUCCACGCCCUAAACGAUGUCGAUUAGCUGUUGGGCAGCUUGACUGCUUAGUAGCGUAGCUAACGCGUGAAAUCGACCGCCUGGGGAGUACGGUCGCAAGAUUAAAACUCAAAGGAAUUGACGGGGACCCGCACAAGCGGUGGAUGAUGUGGAUUAAUUCGAUGCAACGCGAAGAACCUUACCUGGUCUUGACAUGUACGGAACCUUCCAGAGACGGAAGGGUGCCUUCGGGAGCCGUAACACAGGUGCUGCAUGGCUGUCGUCAGCUCGUGUCGUGAG
rnacentral:rRNA from 1 species